rnacentral:lncRNA from 1 species
CCGGGGAGUGACGCGGAGCCCAGAAGGCAUUAAAUAAAUAUGAGAGGAAGUCAUUUCCUGAGCAGCGCCAGCUCACGUUGGUCACAAGAGCGACAUAAAUAGAUCACCUGUCACGUGAAAAUACCAUCAGCUGAGCGACAAGACACCUGCCCGUGCACGUCUGGUGAUGCCCUUUCCUGACAGAUGGAAUAUGAUCAUAUCGUGUUCUAUCCAGCAGGAGCUGAUCGCCUGGAUCACAAGACACAGAGGAGGAAAUAACCAUCAACGGAAUAGAAACAGGGCCAGAGAAAGUGUUGCUGCACCUCUGCUGAAGUAUCGGCCAUAGAGGCGAGUCUCUAAUUGUAUUUCGACUUUUCCCUGAGAAGAUGUUUGUUUUGUCCUGCAUGGCUCAGACGCCCCGGCAUUUCG